GGGAAGGCGAUGACAGCCAGUGCGCACGCGUUAACUCGCUCGUAAGGCAGCCAGGUGUAGAAGUACUGCGCACGCGCAAAAGCAAAGUGACUGAAGGUGAUAAACAAGACACAGACACUUUUCUCGUAG